CAGCAUAUGUUCCAAGGUCUCUCCCAGCUCUGAUAGUCUCUGUUCUAAGGUCUCUCCCAGCUCUGACAUUCUCUGUUCUAAGGUCUCUCCCAGCUCUGACAUUCUGUGUUCUAAGGUCUCUCUCAGCUCUGACAGUCUCUGUUCUAAUGUCCCUCCCAGCUCUGACAUUCUCUGUUUCUAACGGUCUCUCCUAGCUCUGACAUUCCCUGUUUCUAAGGUCUCUCCCAGCUCUGACAUUCUCUGUUCUAAGGUCUCUUCCAGCUCUGACAUUCUCUGUUCUAAGGUCUCUCCCAGCUCUGACAUUCUCUGUUCUAAGCACCUUCCCAGCUCUGACAUUCUCUGUUCUAAGGUCUCUCCCAGCUCUGACAUUCUCUGUUCUAAGCUCCUUCCCAGCUCUGACAUUCUCUGUUCUAAGCUCUCUCCCAGCUCUGACAUUCUGUUUUCUAAGCUCUCUCCCAGCUCUGACAUUCUCUGUUCUAAGGUCUCUCCCAACUCUGACAUUCUCUGUUCUAAGGUCUCUCCCAGCUCUGACAUUGUGUUCUAAGGUCUCUCCCAGCUCUGAAAGUCUCUGUUCUAAGGUCUCUCCCAGCUCUGACAAUCUGUGUUCUAAGCUCUCUCCCAGCUCUGACAUUGUCUGUUCUAAGAUCUCUCCCAGCUCUGACAUUCUGUGUUCUAAGGUCUCUCCCAGCUCUGACAUUCUGUGUUCUAAGCUCUUUCCCAGCUCUGACAUUCUCUGUUCUAAGGUCUCUCCCAGCGCUGACAUUCUCUGUUCUAAGGUCUCUCCCAGCUCUGACAUUCUCUGUUCUAAGGUCUCUCCCAGCUCUGACAUUCUCUGUUCUAAGGUCUCUCCCAGCUCUGACAUUCUGUGUUCUAAGGUCUCUCCCAGCUCUGACAUUCUGUGUUCUAAGCUCUCUCCCAGCUCUGACAUUCUGUGUUCUAAAGUCUCUCCCAGCUCUGACAUUCUCUGUUCUGAGGUCUCUCCCAGCUCUGACAUUCUCUGUUCUAAGGUCUCUCCCAGCUCUGACAUUCUCUGUUCUAAGGUCUCUCCCAGCUCUGACAUUCUCUGUUCUAAGGUCUCUCCCAGCUCUGACAUUCUGUGUUCUAAGGUCUCUCCCAGCUCUGACAUUCUGUGUUCUAAGCUCUCUCCCAGCUCUGACAUUCC
rnacentral:lncRNA from 1 species